rnacentral:lncRNA from 1 species
AUGUGUCUCUGCAGCUGCGGGCAGCACUGUUCGACAUUCAUGAUAUAUUUUUUGAAAUGUCUCUGGAUGAGCGUCUGGCUCUGCUUCAGCAGAAACAAGAGCUUCUCACAGAGAGGAAACUCCGAGAGAUGGAAAAAGCCAAAAGUCCCAAAGAGAAGAUUAAUUUGUCUGCUGCCACCCAGAAAGUUCUAGACCGUAAGAAGCAGAGAGUGGGCGAGUCUCCAAGUCAGACCAGAAGGAUACAGCAGAAGCCCAAAAGCCCCCUGACAAACAGGAGUUCACAGAGGAAGACUCCGGAGGACAGGGUGAAACGCUCAGACUGCCUGAAGAAACAGCAUUCUCUCGGUUAAAGGCUUAAGUCUGUAGUGCUCUACACAACUUUAAAUUCGUAGCAGAUUAUAAACAGACCCAUUCUCACUGAGUUUUAUGACAAAUAAAAAAGGCUCAUUGCACUCUUAAAGCA